UGACUAAAAGGCAUUCUUUUUCCAUUU
rnacentral:piRNA from 1 species